rnacentral:lncRNA from 1 species
GAAAUUAUAUUGUAACAAGAGUUAAUAUUUUAUUUUUAUUUAUUAAUAGGGUUUGAGUCAUCCUAUAAUUUAUAUGUAUAAAAAUAAAUCGAUUCUUAUUAUUUGUUAUUGUAGUUUGAUCUAUUGUUGUAUGUGUACUUCCGGAACCAUGCGACGGUUCCUGCCUCUCAUUGCAACUGGUGGAGACUUGUAACAUUCUGUACGACAAGCUGCACAUUCUGACGCUGGCGAAGAGCGCUUGCAAUGGUCACGACAGAUCUUACUGCAUUCUAUUUCCGAUUUUGCUUCACCUUCUAUGACAAUUACGACGGCUAGUAUCAUCAUUAUCCACACCAUGCUCAUUACUUUCCCCAUUUUUCUUGUGUAUUCUUUUUUUUUUUGUGCUAAAUUUGUAUACUUUCUUCUUAUUUUUUUCUUCUUUAUGUUUAUGAAUGAGUUAAAC